UACGUAGGGGGCGAGCGUUGUCCGGAGUUACUGGGCGUAAAGCGCACGCAGGCGGUCUGUGAAGUUUGGAGUGACAGUUGGUGGCUCAACCACCAAAGUGCUUUGAAAACUGAUAGAUUUGAGGGCUUCAGAGGGACACGGAAUUCCGGGUGGAGUGGUGAAAUGCGUAGAGGUCCGGAGGAACACCAAAGGCGAAGGCAGUGUCCUGGGGAGUACCUGACGCUCAGGUGCGAAAGCCAGGGGAGCGAACGGG
rnacentral:rRNA from 1 species